AAAAACAUCGCCUCCUGAUUACCCAUAGGAGGUCCAGCCUGCCCAGUGACUAAGUUAAACGGCCGCGGUACCCUAACCGUGCAAAGGUAGCGCAAUCACUUGUUCUUUAAAUGAGGACUAGUAUGAACGGCAUCACGAGGGUUAUGCUGUCUCCCUACUCUACUCAGUGAAACUGAUCUCCCCGUGAAGAAGCGGGGAUAAAGAUAUAAGACGAGAAGACCCCAUGGAGCUUUAAACUCAGUGCCAACUGCCCUAAUAAUAGCCUAUUAUCUUUGCAGCCAUGGUUACUAGUUUUCGGUUGGGGUGACCACGGAGUAAAAUUUAACCUCCAUGAUGAAAGGAACUAAUAUCCUAACCUAUGAGCUACAGCUCUAAGUAUCAACAAAUUGACUAACUGACCCAAUUACUUGAUCAACGAACCAAGUUACCCUGGGGAUAACAGCGCAAUCCAUUUCAAGAGCUCAUAUCGACAAAUGGGUUUACGACCUCGAUGUUGGAUCAGGGUAUCCCAGUGGCGCAGCCGCUACUAAUGAGUUCGUUUGUUCAACGAUUAAAACCCUACGUGAUCUGAG
rnacentral:rRNA from 1 species